rnacentral:ncRNA from 1 species
UAUUAGGCGAUGAUAAGAAUGAGUAGGUAAUUUGUUAUUAUUAAGAGAGGAAGUGGACGGUGCGAACUUCUUAAUGCAAAUAUUGAAGCUAUCUUGGAGUCAUAUUAAAUUAAGAGGUAUAUGUACAUAAAUUACAUUUUAUAUGUAUUCAUAUAUAACUAGGGUGGUACCGCGAAAACUUUCGUCCCUUGA